UGCGUGUAUGCAUGUCAGUCAGUCCUCACACUUUUACUGUACAGUGAUGUCUGUGUGUCUGAAGAGUCACACUCAAAUCAAAGGUGGUUAGUUGUGCAUCAAAUGAGUCUCCAAUAAUAAACAACUGCAUUAUUCUGUAUUCAGUAAAUCUUAACAUUCCACUGGGCAUCCAUAGUUUGUCUAUUUUUAUAUUAAUUUGUUCUACAUUCAUUUCCUUUAAAGUUUUCCCCCCUAGGUACAUAUUGCCAUGUUAAAAGUUUAAAUGCAUGAAUUUUAAAUGUAAAGCUUUUUCAGGUUAGCAUGUGAUUAACUCAUCAUCAUCAUCAUGAGUGGAAACUGGGUUAAUUUAAUCAGACCAGAUGUUACACGACUGUAUCUGAAGAGCUGAACUCAUUAGACACUGACUGCAAUAAUAAGAGGGGAAUGAUUUGGAUAUAUAUAGUAAUAACAUUACAAAAAGAGAAGAUGCACAGAGAAGGUACAACAAAACCCAGGCAGCUGACUUGCUCUCUUAUGUCAAAUCAGUUUGGUUUACAUUUUAUACAAAAUAGUUUCCCGGCUUACUUAUCGAAGAAAUGCAAGGCUUAUAAAAAUAAAGCAUAAGAACAGAUAGCACAGAUUGUAAUUUCAAGUUAAAGAGAGGAUGCUGGUCUAUAUGCAUGUGUGGCUGUGUUUAUUAGUCCUUUCUGAGGUCUGUAGGAAGGCAGUGCGAGCAUCUGUUCUUCAUGCCUCCUCACAACACUGACGAUGACUGACGAAGAGCAAGGCACAUCAAGUCAGAAACAAAGCCUCGUCACCUUUCAAAGGUUCACGUUAGCAAACUUUAACACAAAAAGCCAACGAUUGAGUUCACAACCUCUGAUUAUCCUGCACUUUCUCCUGACAGUAAAUACAGCGCAGCUACGAAAACGGUCAGCUUCUCAGAUCAACAUGCCCUUUAUGGUGGCAGUGUGGACAUUUAUGCCAAUGUAUUUGAUAUCAAUAUAACAGUGUGGUUACAUAAAGAAAGGUUAGGAGAGGCUGACACCAGCGAGGUCUAAAAAGGCAAGUAGAAUGAAGUCUCAGAUUGAUUUUAAAUCAUUUUUGUCUCUACAACAUUCAUUUCUUCCGGUUUAUUUGUCUGUAUUUCGUCUACCAUUAAAGUGCUGGUAACUUGAUUCAAAAACAAGA
ensembl:lncRNA